rnacentral:rRNA from 1 species
AUUGAACGCUGGCGGCAUGCCUUACACAUGCAAGUCGAACGGUAGGGGGGCAACCCCUGAGAGUGGCGAACGGGUGAGUAAUGCAUCGGAACGUGCCCAGUUGUGGGGGAUAACGUAGCGAAAGCUACGCUAAUACCGCAUACGACCUGAGGGCGAAAGGGGGGGAUCGCAAGACCUCUCGCAAUUGGAGCGGCCGAUGUCAGAUUAGCUAGUUGGUGGGGUAAAAGCCUACCAAGGCGACGAUCUGUAGCUGGUCUGAGAGGACGACCAGCCACACUGGGACUGAGACGCGGCCAAGACUCCUACGGGAGGCAGCAGUGGGGAAUGUUGGACAAUGGACGCAAGUCUGAUCCAGCCAUGCCGCGUGCAGGAAGAAGGCCUUCGGGUUGUAAACCGCUUUUGUCAGGGAAGAAAUCCCUUGGGAUAAUACCUCGGGGGGAUGACGGUACCUGAAGAAUAAGCACCGGCUAACUACGUGCCAGCCGCCGCGGUAAUAC